rfam:Gossypium arboreum cultivar AKA8401 contig_23679_1, whole genome shotgun sequence.
AUCCCAUGAUGAGGGCACAUUCAUAAUAACUCUUUUACCUUUCCCAUGCCUCAUACAAGGACUCAUCAUCCAUUCUUUGAAAGGCAAUGAUCUUAUUCCUCAACUU